ACACCUCCAUAUAUUCUGCAGAACUCUAACUGCUAAAAACUCAAAGUGGAUCCAGUCCAGUCUGCCAGUGCCAUCGAAGGGGAAGGGCAGUGAGGUGUGUGCAGGUGAGCUGGUUAUAUCUGCACAAUGUGCCAGUCGGAGAGCUCGGCUGAUGUUACAGAUGUCUCUGCCCUGUCACGUCCUGUGCCUUCUGAGUCACUGAUGAAAACAUGGCUAUGGAGGUGCAAACAUGUCAGCAGCCAGAUCAGCCAGACAAGAUGUUAUCUGGACAAGCAGCGUCUCCUGGUGGUGUGUAUGGUACUGGUGGCACUGGGUGGCAUGAUUCUGCUGUUGUUGUGGAACUAUCAGUGCUUCAUAAUAAGCAGGUUGUGCCUUAACUGGGAAGACGAGACGGUUUGCCAACACUGAUAAGAGGCAUGAAGGAGUUUAGUGAAAACAACUUUCCCAUUUCAAAUGGAUGUGAGACAGUGAAAGGACUGUUUAAGAUUCAUGGCUGUAUGUACUAAAUCAGAUGAGCAAAAUGAUGUUUCAAAUUGUUAUAUUACUUAAAAAUUAUUUUUAAAGUAAUAUGUUAAAGAUCUUAACUGAUCUCUGAGUCUACUAGGUGUGCACAAUCCCAUUUUUUCAUUUUGCAGUAUUAGCCAACACCCAAUAUUCAUUCCAUAUCCAUAUCUGGGCCAGUUAAUGUCACAAACAUUUAUGGCAUAACAUUUGUAUAAUCUCUUCUGGUAUCAAUCCAGAAUGAAUUGGGACAUACCUAUUUUUUUAUUUCUGUAUUUGAUUCAUUUUAUUUGAUAUAUAUUUUUAUAUAUAGUCUGACCUUAAUCCAAAGUAAUUCAGAAUUCAAUAUCCUGGUGAAGGAACUGACUGAAAGUCAUGCAAGACUACAUAUUUCAAGAAUAAUUCACUUGUUUACUCACAUUUAACUACAUAUUGUUUUUUAAGCAGUCAUUUAACUGGAGCAUAGUCAAUUUAAAUACGGCUGACCAAAAAUCAUUCAUCAGAGGAUAAACUGAUAAGCUAAGCUGCAAUAUAUAAAAUAUAUUUAAAACUAAAAACAACAAGAUGCUUAUGUAAAUACACAAUUCUAAUGUGCUAGUACCCCCAAGCAGUAUGAAUAUGGUUGAGUCUUUGUUCUACAUCAGACCACAUCCUGAAAGAUUCAAAGUAGCUGACUGAAUUUAACUAGCAGCUCAACAAAGGCUCAGCAACAACAGCAGUGGUUGUACAGUAGCAACUUCAUCAUUUGCCUGAAGCAUGUUUUAUAGAUACAAAAGAUUUUUCGUAUAGUAGGCAGGCAAAGAUUGAAAGGCUCUAUUGAAAGGAAGGUCACUGUGAUGUAUUUUAAGUAUUGUCUCUGUUUCUGCACUGAGGGAUCCAAAAAUUAUUUGCACGUUUUGUUAAGUGCAGGUGGCACCAACAUGUUUGUGCCUGUUCCUGGUUUGUAACAAAGUAGCCUUUAAUGUGGUGGAAAUAUCUGAAGUACGCAAUGUUAAGAGAUUCAAAGCAACUUAAGACAAAUUCAGCAUCAGGAAAACACAAUUGUUAAAAAAAUAAUCACAUUAAGGGUGCUGCGAAGGCUCAGUGGGUAGCUCUGUCACCUCACAGCAAGAAGGUCUUUUCUGUUUGGAGUUUGCAUGUUCUCCCCAUGUUCCUCCUACAGUACAAAGACGUGCAAGUGAGGUGAAUUGGAGAUAUAAUUGGAGAUGUUUGACAUUAAACUUGUGACCUGAUGAGUCUUGUGUAACGAGUAACUACCGUUUGUCAUUCAGUAUUUACUGAAGUUUAAUAAAACAGGUUGCAGGGUCUUCUGCUGUGAUUAAUACUAAAACAACUACAGCCAUCUCAUACAGCUUUAACUUACACUUAAGUAAAGUUUGAGCAGGUGCUCCUAUGUCCACUAUUAAACCCUUGCAGCUCAUUCAAAAUGCAGCUGCCCGUCUGAUUUUUAACCAGCCCAAACACUGCCACAUCACCCCACUGCUGCGUUCUCUUCACUGGCUUCCUGUAGCUGCACGCAUUCAGUUUAAAACGCCUACAAAAGCCAAAAAUGGACCAGCCCCAAGCUACCUUCGUGGUCUAAUCAAACCCCGCUCUGUACCGCGCAACCUCCGAGCCACCAGUCUCGCUUGACUUGAUCCUCCUCCACCCAGGACUAAAGGAAGACAAGCAUCAAGGCUCUUCUCUGUUCUAGCACCCAAGUGGUGGAAUGAACUUCCUGUCUGUCCGAACAUCUGAGUCUCUUGCUAUCUUAAAAAAAGCUGACUUGUACUUAUUUACUAACAAUUUUUUUCCAUUUCCAAAAAAAAAAAAAACACUUUGGUUUUAACAGGGUUUUAGCAGAUUUGUGUUCUUCAACUGUUUACUUAAACUAGAGAAAUAAAAUGUUUACUAUGGAAACACUUCUGUAAGUCGCUCUGGAUAAGAGCGUCUGCUAAAUGCAGAAAAUGUAAAUGUAAAAGUUUAUCAGUGCUGAUAGUUCAUACUGCUCAGUUAAUCUUUAUGUCUGUGUAAUUAUGUACCAGUCUGCUGUUGAAUUAUAAGAAAGAAUAAACGAGUUUUUAAAUAUC